CUCAACACCGCCUCCGCGCCGACUGGAAGGCGCUGCGGCCGCGCCUGCCUGCCCCACCUCAUAGGGGCCUGUGACCUCACGAGGCGAGCCGCCGGGCGCUGCAUUCGAGCGGCGGGGCUCCUGUCCGUGCGCUUUCCUCCCGCAGCCCCGGCCGGGAUUCCGCCCUCCGUCCUUGCCACCCGCUCGCCACUCUUCCCUAAUCGCUGUUCAUUCUCCGAACUUCAGAUUGAAAGGUAUGUACUUGAGUAGCUGUAUUUAAGGAAUUACACCCAAGAAGUCUCAUCUUCCCUGGACUUAUGUAGAGGAUAAGAUUCUGAACUUUGAAUUGAUGCUAUAAUGGGAUAAGACUCGGGGCCUUAGAAGGGGAAACAGAAAUAACAACACAGGAAGCACUGGGCAGCCUUAGGCCAAUUCUUUUUGGAGAACAAAGGCCAUAAAGGUGUUAAAGGGAAGCAAGCAAUCAACAGCAUUGGAUGGUGACAAACCUGUGGCUGGUCUGUGUAUGAUGGGAGGCACUUGCUCCCUUUGCUUUGCAGGCUCUUGCUGAGUCUGUGGGCUCUGGGAAGCAGAAGUGGUGGAUGGCUGCACACACUAGUAAGAAAGGAGGACGACUCUCAGAGACACCAGCUCACAUCAAGUGUCAGUUGUUCCUCAAGCCUGCACAACAUUCCCUGAGGCAGAAGCAGAGGAGAAAUGACCAAUAAGGAAAGUCGUGGAGAGACUGGAGUGGUGAAAUGAACAUCUGGUUUCAAAAAUUCCAUGAGGAUUUUACUUUCUUGUGUCAUUUUACAAAAGAAAGGUAUUAAUUACCUUGGGAAGGCUGGAGACUGGUGAGGGACUGAAG